rnacentral:sRNA from 1 species
CCCUAGCCCUGAUUGUCGCGACAUCCUUUUACAGUUCGGGAUCCGCUUUGCGGAGCCCGAACUGUAAAAGAUACAGCAGAAAGCGGGAAAAGCU